AUACGGAGGGUGCAAGCGUUAUCCGGUAUCAUUGGGUUUAAAGGGUCCGUAGGCGGACUAUUAAGUCAGAGGUGAAAUCCCACAGCUCAACUGUGGAACUGCCUUUGAUACUGGUAGUCUUGAGUUAUAUGGAAGUAGAUAGAAUGUGUAGUGUAGCGGUGAAAUGCAUAGAUAUUACACAGAAUACCGAUUGCGAAGGCAGUCUACUACGUAUAUACUGACGCUAAGGGACGAAAGCGUGGGGAGCGAACAGGAUUAGAAACCCCUGUAGUCC
rnacentral:rRNA from 1 species